ensembl:lncRNA
CAUUGGAAACACUUUUCACUGGUUUUAGAUUUUCUUGGGAAGAAAGCCGUCUUUUAAAUCAUAGUUCUGAAGUAGCUUAAUGGCAAAGAUGGUCCCAAUCAAAGACUGCAUAGGAUUGUUCUUCAUAAGAUUCACUCAAUAUUGUAUUCGAAUCCUUCAACAGUUUGACAAUGGCUACAACACCUUGGAUUCAUUCACUUCACUUGACCUGCAGAGAAUGGCUGAUCUAUCAUUUCAUGGAAGUGUUAAUUAUGAUACUGGUAGCAGUCUGGGAAAAUUCAAGAACAAAACAUAUCAAAAAGGAGGAAUGUCCAGAACAGUUCUUGGAAUAUUAAGUGUGCUGCUUUGCCCACUGCUUCCUGUUGGAGAUUGAAGCACCCAUGCACUUUGAAGCACAUUUGUGUUUCAGAAACACAUUCUGGUGUCCUAAAUACGCAA